CCCACUCACAUCUGUUUUCCAUGCUGUGGGCAUGAGGAGGCAGGGCACAUGGAGAUGACAUACUAGUAAAAGGCGCGUUUGAAAGUUGUCAAAACGCAUUAGGGCAGUGUUGAAGGAUUCUGAGCAGGGGAGGUUACCAUGGCCUGAUUUGGGGGAUAGGAGGUGGAAGAUGGAUUGGAGAGACCAGGACACUGUUAGGAGCCUAUUGUAAUAGUAUAUAUAAGAGCCAACCUGGUUCCUGACCAGGCUGGGGCCGGGAGUGUAGAGGAGCAAAGAGGUGGAGAUGACACUUUCUGGAGACAGCAUAUGAAGCUGGCACUUGAGAAUGGAUGGGGUGCAGAUCUUCCCUCCUCUGCUAAGUGACUUGAAGCUCCUGUCCUGACUACGGGAGACCUUUAAGGACCUCUCUAGCUGUGGUGGUCCACGUUUCUGAAACAGGAAAACUUCAAGGGAAAGAGAGAAAGAGUGGUGUAUCCAAAGGGAGGGACCUUAGGAUGAGGUCUUAUUCUACCCAAGCUGGCAGCAUCUCUGCUUUCUCAAUCCAGGUCAGUCUCCAGACAUUUCAAAUUCAGGCCUAAGGACUGAGAGUUCAUGGGAGCACCACGCCCUCCAAGAAGCACCAACAUGGGAUGGUGGGAAGGGAUUUGGACAUAAAUCUAAGGUGGAUAUUUGCAGAGGAAUGGAGUGAAAAUAACGAUGAAUAUAUUGAGCAUGUACUAUGUGCCAAGAACUGUAUUAUCUCAUUUAAUUCACAUGAGAAUUCUAUGUGGUAAAUCUUUAUAGGUGGGGAAAAUGAGAUGCACAAAAAUUUCAUCACUGACCUAAGGUUACACAGCUAGAUUGUCAUGGGCUUGGGAUUUUAAACUCAGGCAGUCUGGCUUCAGAGCUGACCUGUGCCCUUGGUCAUGAUGCUAUAGGAGCAGCUCACAGGGAUUCAAAGUGAUCCUGUUAGGGUUGCCUGCAGGAGCAAUUUCAGGUGGGAAGAAAUCAGCUGUGAGUUCAUUUCUGCCUGUAGGGUGGAAAUUAGGGGAUAUAGGACAGGCACCACCUCGGGGAGCCCUAGACUGGCUUCAUACAGACCGGUAAGCCUCCACGGAUUCCUUCAAGGCUAGGGUAUUGAGGGCCUUGGAUCCCAAGUUCCUCUCACUCACCACCAAGGCAGGCUGAAAAGGGGAUGGUUGAGGCAAGGCCCAGGAGUCAAGAAGGAAUAGGUUAGGUCAGGAAUGAGGGAUGCCAGGGCCAGGGGUCAAGGCAGGACAGAUACCCCAACACCAAGGAAGCCAUCAGGGCAGCAGCACAGAGCUCCAGCCACGGGCAGAACCCGAUGCUGAAGUCAUUCUUGCCUCAGCCAGGAAGCAUUUCACAUCCUCCCUGUGGGCCAGGACCCAUCCUCAGGCUGGGGGCUGCCUAGAACUACCUGCUUGGAAGAAGUGAGCCACAGCAAAACGUUGUUGAAAAUACCAGCAGCUACAUGUAUGAUGUGCUGACUCUGCACUAGACAUUUUAUAUAUGUUAUCCCUUUUCACGUUAAGCUUGCAAACUACUCUGUGAGGUCUGAAUAUUGUCCCCAUUUUACAGAGAGGCAAUAAAAGCUGAAAGAGGUACAACAGCUUGCCUGGGGCCACGUAGCUUCUCGGGACCUUGGAUGUAAACUUAGGCCAGCCUGGUUCCAGAGCCCAGAGCCCUGGCUCUUACUUCCCCUACUGAUAGCCUCCUUGGGACAGAGAUGGGGCAGGGGCUCCAUCCAGCCAAUUCUCUUUCCCUCCCCCAUUCUCAGCCCCUUUCUACCCAGGCAUUUCCAUCAUACCAUUGCUCCGAUUGAAAGUUCAUCUGCUGCCGGGCACGCAGUGGCUCACGCCUGUAAUCCCAGCACUUUGGGAGGCCGAGGCGGGCUGAUCACCUGAGGUCGGGAGUUUGAGACCAGCCUGACCAACCUGGAGAAACCCCAUCUCAACUAAAAAAAAAAAAAAAAAAAAAAAAUUAGCUGGGCGUGGUGGCACAUGCCUGUAAUCCUAGCUACUCGGGAGGCUGAGGCAGGAGAAUCGCUUAAACCUGGGAGGCGGAGGUUGUGGUGAGCCGAUAUUGCACCAUUGCACUCCAGCCUGGGCAACAAGAAUGAGACUGACAGGCACCGUCUGAAAAAAAAAAAAAAAAAAGUUCAGCUGCUCAACUCCAUGCUCCCAUUGGCAGCAGUUAUCCAACCAGCCUGAAAGCUACCUUCUUCCAUCUCUUCUCACAACGAUGCUGUGCGGGGGCCAGCAGGCGUGUUUCCCCAUUACACAGGUACAGAAACUGGGGCUUCAGGAAAAUGAAAUCAUGGGCCACCAGUACCCUGUCAUCAGGACAGGACUUCAAAGCCAGGCCCCUAAAUCCAGCAUCCUUCUAGGCCUCUUCACAGUACUGCCUGUGAAUUUAGAUACAUCUGUGCCUCUAACAGAUCUUUAAACUUCUUCUGUAGCUCACUGUGUCCAGCUUCCCAAGGACUGCCUGCAGAAGAGGGCUCUAUUCCCAAGGCCUGUCAAGAUUCUGGGGGUCCUCCCCAGCAGCUAGGGGACAUCUUGCCCACCUUCUUCAGUACCCGAGGCAGGGAGGAUGCUGUACAGGUUAAGGAGACCACAGAGCUAGCAGUGUGUGGGUUGUGCUGAGUCCCUGAGUGGUGUGUAUUUCUUCAGGUCUCUGUCUGCUUGCGGGCGCCCCUCUGAUUGGAAGGCUUAGUAAGGAGCCCUCUGUCUGCUGGGGCUGAACCAGGCAGGCCCCCAAUGGUACUGAGCCAGUGAGACUGUCCCGGAGAAAAUGUGAUACAGAAACCACAGAGAGGACUCUCCCAAGAAACGCCACAAGCCACCUGGUGGGACAUUCAUUUCUUUCCAAGAAUUUGGCUUCUGUUCUCUCCUGUUUUUCCUCUUAGGAGUCAGAUAGAACAGGUUGACUCGAUUACUUGUUUGCUUCAAGCUCGUUUGACAAAUGAGAAAUAAAUAAGGUCCAAAUAAAUAAAAUAAUAUUUAUUUUAUAAUAUUGAGGUGUCAAUAAUAUUGAAGUCCAAAUAAAUAAAAUAAUAGCAAUUAGGAAAGAGCUGGAGUGACCGCAGAGUCUCCUGACACCCAGGGCAGGCCCCUCCUGCUCACGUGAUGACCAAACACUCUCCCUCAGUCUGGCUACUUAUUAGGAAGUCUCCAUUGGCACGGAGUACACCAAAAAUUUGGCUGUGCCUCCACCCCUGUGAAUGUUUGAUUUGUACACCCUCAGCUUUAACCUAGAGCCCUGGGCUUCUGGAAAGGGUGGGGUUGGAGGCAUUCCAAGACCUUGACCUGGAAGGAAUUCCAGGAGACUGGGUUGCUUCUUUCAACCCCACCAGCAGUCUCAGCAGGUCGGCCUGAGCCACAUACUUGCUCAGACCUCACUACUAGCUAGGGUCCCCUUUCCUUCUUUUCCUUCCUCUCUCUCUCACUCUCUGUCAUGAAGUUUUCAAGGGCUGGGACGGCCACAUUCCACAGCAUUGAAAUCACAGUUCCAUUUCAUUCAGGCAAAUGGCAUUUUUGCCUGAAUCAAAAGUGAGAGCUUGAAAGGAUCUUAUUGAUGGUUUCAACCACCUCCCUCUUUUAAUAGAUGAGGAAAAUGAAAGCACGGGGGAGGUGGCUCCCCAGGGUCACUCAGUGGGUAGUGAAGGCGCCGUGCUAAGCACCUAGGGCCCGGGCCCUUAGGCACUGCUUGUCCCAGUGAGCUCCCGUCCCACUGUCCACUCCUAACCACAGAUGCCCACGCUGGAAGGAACCCCAGGAAGUGUGUGGCCAGGGCAAGGGUUGGGGACAAGCCUGAAUGCCCAAGGGGAACACAAGGUCACAUCAAGGGAAAGGAAAGCCAGGACUUGGGGGAUGACUGCCACACAGAUGAUUGCUGAGCAGGCGCAGGAUUUCUGGACAUUCGUUUUUGUUUUUUUUUUUUAAGAACAGCCAGAAAAUACAAUGAUAAUGUAAAACAUUCCCAUUUUAAAUAUAGAAAGAAUUCAAAUUUAAAAAGAAAGCACCUGAGACUAAUGUGUGGCCUCUGAUGAAGUCCAAUUGUCCCUUUUUACAGACAAGAAAACUGAGGCACAGGGUAGUGGUCUGUCACAGGCCACAGAGACAAAACCCAGUGCAGUGCAGUCAUUUCUGGGGAAUGCCACUUUGGGGCCAGCUGUCCUGUUGGCACUCAUUAUGAGAUGGCAUCCCAUGAGAAUGUGUCCUCACGCACCCGGCCCCAGGCCCCCUCAGGUCUCGUGUGAUUCUCCUUGGAGGACCUUAGCCUUGGCCUUCUAUUAUGUUCUCUCUGUGGCCCACAUUCCAAAAAUCUCUGUAAGUGUUUUUUUUAUCCCAACAUGUCCUUUUAAGACUCCAAAGUGGGCCAGAACAUUCCGAGACCCUGCUGGAGGCUGGGAAAGGCGGCAGACACCCCUGCCCUCUGCCAAGCCCUUCCCACGUGCCAUUCCCCUUGCCACUGGACAUACUGCCUUUUGCAGCCCAGCUCCAAACAGCACAGCUGACAUCUCAGAAAAAUCUCAUAAGGCCGAAUUAGGAACAUGUCAGCGAGAGGGGAAAAUGAGAUCCUCGUCAGCCUGCCACCUUCCCUGGCUGGCUAAAUCCAUCAGCAGGCCAUCAGCAAACAGCCCUCCCUGACCCCUCCUGCACCCAAGACAGGGCAGAGGGCAGUAAGUGAGGAGAUGACACAUAGCCCCAUAAAACCAUUGGAGAAAAUCAAGUGCUAAGAUGAGCACAGCAGAUAGUAAGGGCUCAGUGAGUUCCGAGCAAA
rnacentral:lncRNA from 10 species